rnacentral:rRNA from 1 species
CCUCCAAGGCUAAAUACUCGUAAUCGACCGAUAGUGAACCAGUACCGUGAGGGAAAGGCGAAAAGAACCCCGGGAGGGGAGUGAAAUAGAUCCUGAAACCGUGUGCAUACAAACAGUCGGAGCCUCUAUAUGGGGUGACGGCGUACCUUUUGUAUAAUGGGUCAGCGACUUACAUUCAGUGGCGAGGUUAACCGAAUAGGGGAGCCGUAGAGAAAUCGAGUCCGAACAGGGCGACAGUCGCUGGGUGUAGACCCG